rnacentral:rRNA from 1 species
UAUCUCUGUAGAGUCUGCAUAUCAAUAAGCGGAGGAAAAGAAACUAACAAGGAUUCCCUUAGUAACGGCGAGUGAAGCGGGAAGAGCUCAAAUUUGAAAUCUUCAAGGUUCUACCUUGACGAAUUGUAGUUUAAAGAAGUGUUUUCUGUUAGAUGAGUAGCAAAAGUUCCUUGGAAUGGGACAUCAUAGAGGGUGAGAAUCCCGUAUUUGGUUAUUCAUUCUAGCUUUGUGAUACACUUUCAAAGAGUCGGAUUGUUUGGGAAUGCAGUCCAAAAUGGGUGGUAAAUUUCAUCUAAAGCUAAAUAUUGGCGAGAGACCGAUAGCGAACAAGUACCGUGAGGGAAAGAUGAAAAGAACUUUGAAAAGAGAGUUAAACAGUACGUGAAAUUGUCAAAAGGGAAGCGUUUGACACCAGUGUUGUUUUUCCGAAAAUCAAUUACGAAUGGCUUGAUUUUGUGUUGUAUUGACCUUAUCAGCUUUCUUCACUUUUUUCGAGUCUUUCUUAAUGCACUUUUCGGUUAACAAGUCAACAUCAAUUUCUUUUGUUGUAAAAGAGUAUUCGGAAGGUGGCUUUCUUUUCGGAGAAGGUGUUUAUAGCCCUAUACUUCUACAAUCGGAGAGAUUGAGGUCUGCAGCGUAGAUCCUUCGGGGUUAGAUACACUUGUGCUAAGUUGUAGCUUUUCAUAGACAACUUGUUGACUAUGUUUAGUCAUGCGGCUUACUCGCUUGUGCUAUUUUACCUACGCUUAGGAUGUUGACUGAUAUGUAGUCGU